rnacentral:rRNA from 1 species
UGGGGAAUCUUCCGCAAUGGACGAAAGUCUGACGGAGCAACGCCGCGUGAGUGAAGAAGGUUUUCGGAUCGUAAAACUCUGUCUUUUGGGGCGAACGUGAGUAUGGUGAACAAUCAUAGUCAGUGACGGUACCAAAGGAGGAAGCCACGGCUAACUACGUGCCAGCAGCCGCGGUAAUACGUAGGUGGCAAGCGUUGUCCGGAAUUAUUGGGCGUAAAGAGCGCGUAGGCGGGAUAGUCAGUCUGUUGUAAAGUGCGGGGCUCAACCCCGUGAUGGCAAUGGAAACAGCUAUUCUUGAGUGCAGGAGAGGAAAGUGGAAUUCCCAGUGUAGCGGUGAAAUGCGUAGAUAUUGGGAGGAACACCAGUGGCGAAGGCGACUUUCUGGACUGUGUCUGACGCUGAGGCGCGAAAGCCAGGGGAGCGAACGGGAUUAGAUACCCCGGUAGUCCUGGCCGUAAAACGAUGGGUACUAGGUGUGGGAGGUAUCGACCCCCUUCCGUGCCGGAGUUAACGCAAUAAGUACCCCGCCUGGGGAGUACGGUCGCAAGACUGAAACUCAAAUGAAUUGACGGGGGUCAUAGCUGUUUCCUG